GCGCUGCCUUUGAGCCCCCGCUGCGCCUGCGCGUGGCGCCGGGGGUCAGGCUGCAGCGCCAGAGCACGUGCUUGCGCAUAACUGGGGCCGCCUGCCUGCCGCGGGCCGCCCUUUUAAUCGUGAGCUACACGC